AUCGCCAAUGUGCUUUGACACACAUCACCUCGUUUGGUAAAAAUCGGUCCAGGUGCAAGGGCCGGCCUGAAAGGAGCAAGGAGCCUGGAAGACGGAUGAGGUUGGAACAGAAACAGCAAGUGGUGUGUCUGGCUGAAGCACACGAGUGCCGUCAGAGAUGAGGCUGGGAAGGUGUCUGGGUGAGGCUGACCUCGGGGGUCUCCAGAUACUUUGAUGCCAGAUCCAUUGCUCUUAACUGCUGCUGUACACUGGCUCAAAUAGCGGUCAGUCUCCAAGCUGCUCUAAGACAAGAUGCAUGAAGCAGACUCAGCAGGGUGUGGAGGGAGGGCGUGGAGAGCAGCUAGCUAAACCAUGGGAGCUACUUCAUCGCACACUCACGCUCUCACCCAAGGUAGAACCGGCUGAGCCUGAAAGGGUCGGUUGUCAAGUCGAGAGGAGAAAGGAAAUGCCCAGUAAAUGACAGACCAUCUGCAGCCUCCCCUCCCCAGCAGACGAGCUGACCAUCACCAAGUGAUGGGAGUCUACCAAAAGUGGGGGCUUGAGGAGGGCUUUGAUCAUAAGCAGUUGCCAUGUUUGUAGGUUGACAACAGCUGCAUGUCGGCACUUUCACGGAGUAAACAUCAUACAAAAUGAUGGCAUCACUUCCGCUGGCUGCAGCUGAGUGGAGGAAGCCCAGGAACUGAAUGGGAUGGU
rnacentral:lncRNA from 1 species